UUUUUCUAGUUGAAUUGAUCGAGUUUGCCAAUUGUAUCUAAAGUCUAAAUGUUUCUAUUACACCUCAUUAUGUCAUUCUCAUUCCAUGCUGCUGAUCCAGAAAGAAUCAUCAAAAAUGCUCUAAGAUUUCCUCCUAACCAUUAAGAAUCAUUCCUUAUAGUAUGGUGCCAGUGCGAAAGAAAUUGAUAGUGCUAUCCAGGUAAGAAGUGGGACAUAAUUCACGCACUUGUUCAGAGAAGAAGCCACGGAAGCUUGUUACAUGUUAUAUGUGCAACAAAGUGGGACAUAAUUCACGCAGUUGUUCAUUUUAAAAAAGUAGUGAUUCACACCUUGCAGGGGUAAAAUAUUGAUUAUGUUGUAAAUAUUGAUUACCUCAUACUCUCUUUAUCUACUUUUUUUUUUACUCUCACUACUUGAAUGACAAGUUAUUUUGUUUUUUAACUUGCUUUACAGAUUUCAAUGGUAGAUGCCAUGACCACGGGUCAGUCCUUGAAUGCUAUCAUUCAAGAUUAUAGUGGUACCUUUUAGGUAAACUUUUACUAUUAUGAUACUCUUCCCAAUGACAUGCAUGCAAGAGUUAAAUAUAUU
rnacentral:lncRNA from 1 species